rnacentral:rRNA from 1 species
AUGUCUACUAGUCUAGAUUUUUUAUGUUUUUUAUCCCUCUUAUUUUUUCGUGCUUUAUGUCUUUUUUCUGCAGCAAUAGUUUUCCCCAGGAAGUUAUGCAAUCCCACAUAUAUUACAAGAUUGUCAACAUUGCAUUUCAACAAGGCUAUCAAGAAAUUUAGUAGCAUACAACUUGGCCAUAUCAGGAAGUAUAAGAUGGAAGCGUUGCUUCAUAUGCCGUAUCAUCUCAACAUUCCAAUGAAUUUGCUUGAGUGGUUAGGUCAUCACAUGUUUGGCACUAGAGAGCCUUACUUCAAGCACAAGAUCAAAUUCAUCAAAAUCACUAAAGAUAUGGUAGACAAAAUCUUCGAUUUUCCUGGUGGAACUGUGCCUUUUGUUUUCAGUAGUGACGAUCCCCAAGUGAAAGCAGAGGUGGCACAGUUAAGGAGCAAGUAUACUGACCAUCAGAACAAAAUGCCAACAAAGAAAAUUGAACGAGUGAUGCUCAGUGAUGAAAGUGAAGAGGGUUUUAUCCAGAGCUUGGCCUUUUACUUUUUAUCAUCUAUCUUGUGCCCAGCAUCAUACUGCUUUGGUAACAUGAAGUUCCUCUACUCUUUAAGAGAUGUUUCUGUGACACCUUCACUUGACUUUGCUAGUUGGCACUGGAUUUUAUGUGUGAGGAAUCAGAGCGUCACUUUCAAAUGA